CAGGACAUCAUCCUCAUAAUGAACUGGGUUGGCGGAGCAAGGAGCCGACUACGGAUGAAGUAUGAAAAGAAGCAACAGAAGGAUUAUUUUGAGAGGAAGAAGUAUGCCAAACAGGUGAAGACAGUCCGACCGCUGUCUCCUGGUGCUAGACACAAGAAAGGAGGGAUCAGUCAGGACCUGCUGUACCUACAAACUCUCAACACAGCUCACAGCAUGGACAGGAAAGGU